rnacentral:lncRNA from 1 species
CACGUACAUCGCUAUUUAUGAUUGUAGGAUUCACCUUUUCCCUAGAAUGCAUUAGAUAACUAAUAAUCACGUCGCUCGGCCCGCAAUCUAGGUUCCCCCUCUGCAUUACACUUGCAACGAAUUCUUCAUACGAACUAUUGCAGCGAAUAGAAAUGGGAAUUGUCACCUUGGUAAAUGAUUUCCAUUCCCAACAUUUGGGAGUCUCCA